AGUGAACGCUGGCGGUAGGCCUAACACAUGCAAGUCGAACGGCAGCACAGUAAGAGCUUGCUCUUACGGGUGGCGAGUGGCGUACGGGUGAGGAAUACAUCGGAAUCUACUUUUUCGUGGGGGAUAACGUAGGGAAACUUACGCUAAUACCGCAUACGACCUACGGGUGAAAGCAGGGGAUCUUCGGACCUUGCGCGAUUGAAUGAGCCGAUGUCGGAUUAGCUAGUUGGCGGGGUAAAGGCCCACCAAGGCGACGAUCCGUAGCUGGUCUGAGAGGAUGAACAGCCCAAAGGGAACUGAGACAAGGUCCAGAACCCUACGGGAGGCAGCAGUGGGGAAUAUUGGACAAUGGGCGCAAGCCUGAUCCAGCCAUACCGCGUGGGUGAAGAAGGCCUUCGGGUUGUAAAGCCCUUUUGUUGGGAAAGAAAAGCAGCAGGUUAAUACCCCGCUGUUCUGACGGUACCCAAAGAAUAAGCACCGGCUAACUUCGUG
rnacentral:rRNA from 1 species